rnacentral:rRNA from 1 species
AGAGCGAACGCUGGCGGCAGGCCUAACACAUGCAAGUCGAGCGCCCGUAGCAAUACGGGAGCGGCAGACGGGAUAGUAACACGUGGGAACGCGCCCUUCGGUUCGGAAUAACUCAGGGAAACUUGAGCUAAUACCGGAUACGCCCUUACGGGGAAAGAUUUAUUGCCGAAGGAACGGCCCGCGUCCGAUUAGCUAGUUGGUGAGGUAAUGGCUCACCAAGGCUCCGAUCGGUAGCUGGUCUGAGAGGAUGACCAGCAUCACUGGGACUGAGACACGGCCCAGACUCCUACGGGAGGCAGCAGUGGGGAAUAUUGGACAAUGGGCGCAAGCCUGAUCCAGCCAUGCCGCGUGGAUGAUGAAGGCCUUAGGGUUGUAAAGUCCUUUUAACGGGGAAGAUAAUGACGGUACCGUAGAAUAAGCCCCGGCUAACUUCGCGCCAGCAGCCGC